UACGUAGGGGGCAAGCGUUGUCCGGAUUUAUUGGGCGUAAAGAGCUCGUAGGCGGUUUGGUAAGUCGGAUGUGAAAUCUCCAGGCUCAACCUGGAGGGGUCAUUCGAUACUGCCAUGACUAGAGUUCGGUAGGGGAGUGUGGAAUUCCUGGUGGAGCGGUGAAAUGCGCAGAGACUGAGGAGACACCCGUAGCGAAGGCGGCACUCUGGGCCGAUACUGACGCUGAGGAGCGAAAGCGUGGGGAGCGAACAGG
rnacentral:rRNA from 1 species